AUUGAACGCUGGCGGCAGGCCUAACACAUGCAAGUCGAGCGAGCGGCGGACGGGUGAGUAAUGUCCGGGAAACUGCCUGAUGGUGGGGGAUAACUACUGGAAACGGUAGCUAAUACCGCAUACUAUCAGAUGUGCCCAGAUGGGAUUAGCUAGUGGGUGGGGUAACGGCUCACCUAGGCGACGAUCCCUAGCUGGUCUGAGAGGAUGACCAGCCACACUGGAACUGAGACACGGUCCAGACUCCUACGAGAGGCAGCAGUGGAGAGUAUUGCACAAGGGGCGCAAGCCUGAUGCAGCCCUGCCGCGUGUGUGAAGGAGGCCUGCGGGUUGUAAAGCUCUUUCAGCGGGGAGGCGUUACCCGCAGAAGAAGCACCGGCUAACUCCGUGCCAGCAGCCGCGGUAAUUC
rnacentral:rRNA from 1 species